rnacentral:misc_RNA from 1 species
AAGGAUCAUUACAGAGUUCAUGCCCUUACGGGUAGAUCUCCCACCCUUGAAUAUUUUAUACCUUUGUUGCUUUGGCGGGCCGCUUCAGCUACCGGCUUCGGCUGGUGAGUGCCCGCCAGAGGACCCCAAACUCUGAAUUAUAGUGUUGUCCGAGUACUAUCAAAUAGUUAAAACUUUCAACAACGGAUCUCUUGGUUCUG